AUUCAGCUAACGAGUCCCAAAUAGGAUGAAACGCGCAUCCUGGAU
rnacentral:hammerhead_ribozyme from 1 species